GGGUCCGUAGCUCAGUUGGUUAGAGCGACAGCCUUUUAAGCUGUGCGUCCCGGGUUCGAAUCCCGGCGGACUCACUA
rnacentral:tRNA from 1 species